ensembl:ncRNA C34H3.5 ncRNA
CCGAGUUGACAAACUGUUAAGGAGAGAACUUUGGCAGUAGUGAAGAGAAAGUGAAGAGGGGUUGGAAGGGUUUAACAUGCGAUUAGCAGAAGGCAAUGCUCGUGUCUGUCAGGAUUUUCGAGUCAACUCAAGCUGAUAAGAUUGUCAAUUGGUUCUAGAACGCAAUUGGCA